UACGGAGGGUGCAAGCGUUGUCCGGAAUUAUUGGGCGUAAAGAGCUCGUAGGCGGUUCGUCGCGUCGGCUGUGAAAACCUGCGGCUUAACCGCAGGCCUGCUUCCGAUACGGGCGAGCUAGAGUUCGGCAGGGGAGACUGGAAUUCCUGGUGUAGCGGUGGAAUGCGCAGAUAUCAGGAGGAACACCGGUGGCGAAGGCGGGUCUCUGGGCCGAUACUGACACUGAGAAGCGAAAGCGUGGGGAGCGAACAGG
rnacentral:rRNA from 1 species